UCUACGGGCGGCUGCAGUGGGGGAUAUUGCACAAUGGGGGAAACCCUGAUGCAGCGACGCCGCGUGGGUGAAGAAGCGCCUCGGCGCGUAAAGCCCUGUCAGCAGGGAAGAAAAUGACGGUACCUGAAGAAGAAGCCCCGGCUCACUACGUGCCAGCAGCCGCGGUACGACGGAGGGGGCAAGCGGUAUCCGGUUUUACUGGUGGUAAAGGGGGCGCAGACGGCGAUGCAAGACCGGAGUGAAAGCCCGGGGCCCAACCCCGGGACUGCUCUUGGAACUGCGUGGCUAGAGUGCAGGAGGGGCAGGCGGAAUUCCUGGUGUAGCGGUGAAAUGCGUAGAUAUCAGGAGGAACACCGGUGGCGAAGGCGGCCUGCUGGACUGCAACUGACGUUGAGGCCCGAAAGCGUGGGGAGCAAACAGGAUUAGAUACCCGUGUAGUC
rnacentral:rRNA from 1 species